GAUGAACGCUGGCGGCGUGCUUAACACAUGCAAGUCGAACGGACAGGCCCUGCUCUUGCGGGGUGCACGAUUGGCGAACAGGUGAGUAAAACACGUGUAUCCUCCCCCUGUCUGUGGGGUAAAUUCACGAAAAUGGGGAUAUUAUCCGAUAGAAUCUCCUGCACCAUGGGGGGGAAAGGAAAAUUUCGGCGGUAGUGGAUGGACUCGCGGCUUACCAGCUUGUUGGUGGGGUAGUGGAUUACCAAGGCUUUGACGGAUAGCCGGCCUGAGAGGGUGAACGGCCACAUGGGGACUGAGAUACGGCCCAGAAUCCUACGGGAGGCAGCAGGGGGGAAUAUUGCACAAUGGGCGGAAGCCUGAUGCAGCAACGCCGCGUGCGGAAUGACGGCCUUCGGGUUGUAAACCGCUUUCGCCUGUGACGAAGCGUGCGUGACGGUAAUGGGUAAAGAAGCACCGGCUAACUACGUG
rnacentral:rRNA from 1 species